UACGGAGGAUGCAAGCGUUAUCCGGAAUGAUUGGGCGUAAAGCGUCCGCAGGUGGCUAUGUAAGUCUGCUGUUAAAGAGUGAGGCUCAACCUCAUAAGAGCAGUGGAAACUACAUGGCUAGAGUGCGUUCGGGGCAGAGGGAAUUCCUGGUGUAGCGGUGAAAUGCGUAGAGAUCAGGAAGAACACCGGUGGCGAAAGCGCUCUGCUAGGCCGCAACUGACACUGAGGGACGAGAGCUAGGGGAGCGAAUGGG
rnacentral:rRNA from 1 species